CACACAUAUCGAUCGAAGAGGUAGCCAAAGAAAGUGGCCAGGGGAGAGAGUUCUUAUAUUCAGGACCAGUUAUAAUGUUACUUCGGAUAUUAGCUACAAACACCAACUUCACGUACCGCUUGGUUCAACCCCCUGAUGGUUCCUUUGGCAUCCUCUUUCCAAACGGUACUUGGAACGGAAUUAUUGGGAUGAUUCUAAAAAAGAAAGUUGACCUUGCCCUGGGCCCCUUCGGAGUAACGUACAUCAGAUCAAGAGUCAUCGACUACACGAACCCGUUGCUGGUGGACUACGGACAGAUUCUUGGAAGGAGAGGCAACACAGAGGUGGACCCUUGGGGAUUCCUCUUGCCGUUAUCACCAUCGAUAUGGGCAGCGGCAUUUGGGACAUUGACUCUCAUAUUUAUUUUUUCUGUCGCCGUCAGACGCAUCGACCGAUACAUUGGUGUGUCUCUGUCGAAGGUGUCUCCAUCCACGUACAUCCAAGCAUUCCUGCAACAAAAUAUUGUGGUACCACCAGACGGUGGGUGGGAUAAAGUGUUACUUGGCAGCUGGUUGCUGUGCAUCUUAGUCCUCCUUGAAUGUUACACCACAAAUUUGAUCACUUUACUGGCAGUGCGCCGUGUAAGGGAACCUUAUCA